rnacentral:rRNA from 1 species
UACGUAGGGACCAAGCGUUGUCCGGAAUCAUUGGGCGUAAAGAGCGCGUAGGCGGCUUGUUAAGUCUUGCGUGAAAUCUCGGGGCUCAACCCCGAGCGGUCGUGAGAAACUGGCAGGCUAGAGUGCGGGAGAGGAGAGUGGAAUUCCUGGUGUAGCGGUGAAAUGCGCAGAUAUCAGGAAGAACACCGGUGGCGAAGGCGGAUCUCUGGGCCGUACCUGACGCUCAGGCACGAAAGCUAGGGGAGCGAACAGG